UACGGAGGGUGCAAGCGUUAAUCGGAAUUACUGGGCGUAAAGCGCACGCAGGCGGUUGGAUAAGUUAGAUGUGAAAGCCCCGGGCUCAACCUGGGAAUUUCAUUUAAAACUGUCCGGCUAGAGUCUUGUAGAGGGGGGUAGAAUUCCAGGUGUAGCGGUGAAAUGCGUAGAGAGCUGGAGGAAUACCGGUGGCGAAGGCGACCCCCUGGACAAAGACUGAAGCGCAGGUGAGAAAUCGUGGGGAGCAAACAGG
rnacentral:rRNA from 1 species